rnacentral:tRNA from 1 species
GGUACCUUGGUCCGAGUGGUUAGGCAACGGUCUGCAAAACCGUGUACAGCGGUUCGAUUCCGCUAGGUACCUCCA